rnacentral:rRNA from 1 species
UACGUAGGUGGCAAGCGUUAUUCGGAAUUAUUGGGCGUAAAGGGCGCGUAGGCGGCUUUGCAAGUGACGGGUGAAAUCCCUCGGCUUAACCGAGGAACUGCCUGUCAGACUGUGAGGCUUGAGACCGGGAGAGGUGAGUGGAAUUCCCAGUGUAGCGGUGAAAUGCGUAGAUAUUGGGAGGAACACCAGUGGCGAAGGCGGCUCACUGGACCGGAACUGACGCUGAGGCGCGAAAGCGUGGGGAGCAAACAGG